rnacentral:rRNA from 1 species
GACGAACGCUGGCGGCGUGCUUAACACAUGCAAGUCGAACGGAAAGGCCCUGCUUUUGUGGGGUGCUCGAGUGGCGAACGGGUGAGUAACACGUGAGUAACCUGCCCUUGACUUUGGGAUAACUUCAGGAAACUGGGGCUAAUACCGGAUAGGAGCUCCUGCUGCAUGGUGGGGGUUGGAAAGUUUCGGCGGUUGGGGAUGGACUCGCGGCUUAUCAGCUCGUUGGUGGGGUAGUGGCUUACCAAGGCUUUGACGGGUAGCCGGCCUGAGAGGGUGACCGGCCACAGUGGGAAUGAGAUACGGCCGAGACUCCUACGGGAGGCAGCAGUGGGGAAUAUUGCACAAUGGGCGGAAGCCUGAUGCAGCAACGCCGCGUGCGGGAUGACGGCCUUCGGGUUGUAAACCGCUUUCGCCUGUGACGAAGCGUGAGUGACGGUAAUGGGUAAAGAAGCACCGGCUAACUACGUG